rnacentral:rRNA from 1 species
UACGGAGGGUGCAAGCGUUAAUCGGAAUUACUGGGCGUAAAGCGUGCGCAGGCGGUUUGUUAAGUCCGCUGUGAAAUCCCCGAGCUCAACUUGGGAAUUGCAGUGGAUACUGGCAGGCUGGAGUUCGGUAGAGGAAGGUGGAAUUCCCGGUGUAGCAGUGAAAUGCGUAGAGAUCGGGAGGAACACCAGUGGCGAAGGCGGCCUUCUGGACCAGUACUGACGCUCAUGCACGAAAGCGUGGGGAGCAAACAGG